UACGAAGGGUGCGAGCGUUGUUCGGAAUCACUGGGCGUAAAGCGCACGUAGGCGGCGCGUUAAGUCAGGGGUGAAAUCCUGGAGAUCAACUCCAGAACUGCCUUUGAUACUGGCGUGCUCGAGUGUGGGAGAGGUUGGUGGAACUCCGAGUGUAGAGGUGAAAUUCGUAGAUAUUCGGAAGAACACCAGUGGCGAAGGCGGCCAACUGGCCCAUUACUGACGCUGAGGUGCGAAAGCGUGGGGAGCAAACAGG
rnacentral:rRNA from 1 species